ensembl:lncRNA
AGGGGCUGCUUGGAGAAGGAGAUUUUAGAAGUGAAUUCCUGCUGCCUCCUGGGAAAAUCCCUGCUGACUUCUUUACCCAUGCCCACGUUGACAGUUGUCAACACCUCUGACAGACCCAAGGAAAGGUGUUUUCCAAGGGAACGGCAGAAAAUCCCUACCUGGGCAACCCUUUAUUUGGAAACCGGAGAAUCCAUUCUGCGUCUAACGCCGGCUAUCCCUUCUCUAGUUGUGACCCCCUCCCCACCCCUACACACACACACCCACACACACACACACUGCGCUGGAGCUGCACAGACCGUCAGAAUUCCAUUCCUAAGGCGACCUUCAAUAGGGGCGGAACGCUGGAAGAAGUCUUUCGCUGUCAACUUUUAAGCCCCAGGUAACGCCAUCUUAAAGUACAACAGGUGGCUUGACUCUGCGCCCUCCGCAGGCUAGGAAGGUGCAAGGUUGGCUCGGGGACCACGUGGGCGACCAGGGAUACUUUCUUCAGGGAAAUUAUUUCCUGACCUUUGGCACUGUUUUCUGAGUUGGCAGAUUCAACCGGGUUGGUUCUUCCUCCCAGACCUCGUUUGGGGGUUGUCCUAGGUUGAGGUCUCCUCCCGCUCCUCCCCGCCUCUCAGAAUAACAUCACUUCGCCUCUGAAGGGCAACCGAAGACUGAGAGCAUCCCAAAGCCAACACAUGCGUGCUCCACACUCCUCCGCCCGUCUCACGCCCAGGUACCUGGGGACAGACUCGGAGGAGCGUGCCCCCGGACCUCCGAAGCGGUCCAGCCUCCAAGCACUUAGCCCGCCCCGUCCAGGCUGGAGACGGGUGGCCCCGGCCAAACUACUGCCCAAACAGCUGUUCUUUGGUGGGGCGGGGACCCGCCUCCCCGCAUCUCUCAGGUGCGAGGUCAGCACCCAGCCACCCGGGUCCCGGCCGCAGGCCGCGCCGCCCCGCCGCCGAGUCCUCGGGAAAGCCGGCUCCAGGCGGGGGCCCCGGGUGCGCGGGGGCUGUCACUGUUUGGAGGUGACCCGCGAGCCCCUCUGGAGUCCGCGUCCGCCUGCCGGGCUGCGCCGAGCGCGCGCCCCAGCUGCCGAGGUCGCUGCGGCCGGCGAGGGCAGAGCCCGGCGCGCGCCGAGGCNNNNNNNNNNNNNNNNNNNNNNNNNNNNNNNNNNNNNNNNNNNNCUUUUAUUGACAAGUGGAGUUGGGAGUUGUGGUGAUGGAGAACCGAGAGGGCGCCGGCCCAGCCAGGUGUCUGCCGGCGACUGUGCGCCCCUCCCUGCAGCUGGCCUAUGUACGAGGGGGAAGAGACGGGGUCGUUCCAGAAAGGUCUUGACACUCGCUCCCAGACGGUGGGCCGCCCGCUCACCGAGCACCGCUGCUCAGGCGCCGGCGGCGGUGAGUAGAGCCUGGGAAGGGAGGCGAGUCCGAUUCGCCGGGCGUCCGUCUGGUCCAGCGCGCAGGUGUCUCGGCAAGAAGCGGCAGGGGUGA